rnacentral:rRNA from 1 species
AGAGUUUGAUCCUGGCUCAGAUUGAACGCUAGCGGCAUGCUUAACACAUGCAAGUCGAACGGUAACAGGCCUAGCUUGCUAGGCGCUGACGAGUGGCGAACGGGUGAGUAACGCGUAGGAAUCUACCUCGUAGAAGGGGACAACCCGAGGAAACUCGGGCUAAUACCAUAUAAUCUCUACGGAGAAAAGAGGGCCUCUAC